UGGGGAAUCUUCCGCAAUGGACGAAAGUCUGACGGAGCAACGCCGCGUGAGUGAAGAAGGUUUUCGGAUCGUAAAACUCUGUCUUUUGGGGCGAACGUGAGUAUGGUGAACAAUCAUAGUCAGUGACGGUACCAAAGGAGGAAGCCACGGCUAACUACGUGCCAGCAGCCGCGGUAAUACGUAGGUGGCAAGCGUUGUCCGGAAUUAUUGGGCGUAAAGAGCGCGUAGGCGGGAUAGUCAGUCUGUUGUAAAAGUGCGGGGCUCAACCCCGUGAUCGCAAUGGAAACAGCUAUUCUUGAGUGCAGGAGAGGAAAGUGGAAUUCCCAGUGUAGCGGUGAAAUGCGUAGAUAUUGGGAGGAACACCAGUGGCGAAGGCGACUUUCUGGACUGUGUCUGACGCUGAGGCGCGAAAGCCAGGGGAGCGAACGGGAUUAGAUACCCCGGUAGUCCUGGCCGUAAACGAUGGGUACUAGGUGUGGGAGGUAUCGACCCCCUUCCGUGCCGGAGUUAACGCAAUAAGUACCCCCGCCUGGGGAGUACGGUCGCAAGACUGAAACUUAAAUGAAUUGACGGGGGUCAUAGCUGUUUCCUG
rnacentral:rRNA from 1 species